GAUGAACGCUGGCGGCGUGCCUAAUACAUGCAAGUCGAGCGAACGGACGAGGAGCUUGCUCCUCUGACGUUAGCGGCGGACGGGUGAGUAACACGUGGAUAACCUACCUAUAAGACUGGGAUAACUUCGGGAAACCGGAGCUAAUACCGGAUAAUAUAUUGAACCGCAUGGUUCAAUAGUGAAAGACGGUUUUGCUGUCACUUAUAGAUGGAUCCGCGCCGCAUUAGCUAGUUGGUAAGGUAACGGCUUACCAAGGCAACGAUGCGUAGCCGACCUGAGAGGGUGAUCGGCAACACUGGAACUGAGACACGGUCCAGACUCCUACGGGAGGCAGCAGUAGGGAAUCUUCCGCAAUGGGCGAAAGCUUGACGGAGCAACGCCGCGUGAGUGAUGAAGGUCUUCGGAUCGUAAAACUCUGUUAUUAGGGAAGAACAAAUGUGUAAGUAACUAUGCACGUCUUGACGGUACCUAAUCAGAAAGCCACGGCUAACUACGUG
rnacentral:rRNA from 1 species